CAAUAGCGUAUAUUAAAGUUGUUGCAGUUAAAAGCUCGUAGUUGAAUUUUUGCUUGCCGCCGAUGUCGGAACUUCCGUACGUUCGGCGGCGUGCAUCCUUGGGUGGAACCUGUGUGGCAUUAGGUUGUCGUGCAGGGGAUGCUCAUCGUUUACUGUGAAAAAAUUAGAGUGUUCAAAGCAGGCUUACGCCGUUGAAUAUAUUAGCAUGGAAUAAUAAGAUAGGACCUUGGUCUAUUUUGUUGGUUUGCGCACCGAGGUAAUGAUUAACAGGGACAGUUGGGGGUAUUCGUAUUCCAUUGUCAGAGGUGAAAUUCUUGGAUUUCUGGAAGACGAACUACUGCGAAAGCAUUUACCAAGGAUGUUUUCAUUA
rnacentral:rRNA from 1 species